UACCAGCACCCCGAGUGGUCGGGACGUUUAUUGGGCCUAAAGCAUCCGUAGCCGGUUCUACAAGUCUUCCGUUAAAUCCAACUGCUUAACAGGUGGGCUGCGGAAGAUACUAUAGAGCUAGGAGGCGGGAGAGGCAAGCGGUACUCGAUGGGUAGGGGUAAAAUCCGUUGAUCCAUUGAAGACCACCAGUGACGAAGGCGGCUUGCCAGAACGCGCUCGACGGCGAGGGAUGAAAGCUGGGGGGAGCAAACCGG
rnacentral:rRNA from 1 species